rnacentral:piRNA from 1 species
UCUGAAGGCUCUUUGGUCUUUGAUUCAGA